ensembl:lncRNA
UUAUUGUCAUCUUGAGCACACAAGCACUCAUAACCUUGGGGACAGAACAGAUGAGGUGAGUGGACCACGCAGAUCUUUGACUUCAAACUCAAAGGGAGCUCAGACCAUGGAGUCAUUCUGCAGCGAUGAUUCUAAGGAAUGCAUUACCAUCAUACAGGUCCUAAAUAAACUCACAUAACCAGGGCUUGCAGGGUAUCUGUAGAGGAGAGGCCCAGUCAAGGAGUAAGGGACUUUAAUAAAUGUAAACUCUUCGUCCUUUCAGAAGCUCUUGGCUGCCCACAUAGGCAUUGCUUCAGUAAUGCUUUGCCAGUUGCUACAGCCGUAACUGCACAAAAUUGUUAUAUCAGCAGCCGUCUGUCAAAAAACCUCAUUGUUAAGGUGCAUCCAAGGUCAUGACAAUGCCAAGGCUGUCUAUUAAGAAUUGCAACAGGCCACAUUGCUGACCCAUCAGCAAGAAUCAGUAUGUGUGGAGAAGUAGCACAGGCCAGAAAGAGUUUCGGCCAGACAGUUGAACCCCGGCAGAGCUCUAUGUUACCUGCCAGGGAGAGCCAAGUCCUGGCUCUUAGAAAAGCUGCUCUCUCCAUUUGCAAGCAGAGACAGGGCACCCAGGAGGGGCCCCAGGAGGCUGGGAGUAUGCUCAGGCAAAAGUGAAACUCAAACCCUGAAAGCUAAGCCCCAAAUCCAAAUAUGCUGUUACGCAAAGCGUCCACAGAUUGGCUCGUGCUUGGUUAUCGUAUGAGGUUACUUGUUGGCAUGUACUGCGCAAUUCUCUGGCAUGCCCGUGGCUCAUCAGUGGCAUUCCUUCUUGAGUCAACACUGACCCGCAGCCUGGCUCAGGGAGGACACUUCAGCCUCGUCCAAGAGGCCAUCAUUUUACGUGAAACCUAAAGCGCACAGUCCUGUUGUGCUGGCGUCAUCCUGUUUGGCUUUUUAUCUCCAAGGAUGACCUGGGGAAAGCCAAACUACAGAGGGCCUAACUCACGCAUGAAAGGAAGAACUGAAGUAGGAUGGAAGCAUGUGGCAGGUUUCUCCAUCACAGUUUCUGUCUUGAUUUUGUAAGAAGAACAAUUCCAGAGUUUAAAAGAGCUCACAUCUUACAGGAUCAACCAAGGGUGAUGGUAGAACAUGAAGACUUCUUAUCUAUUUGGUUAGGCUCUUCAAAGCAGCAAGGAAAGAGUGCAUGCACCUGGAUCCUCCUCGCCAAUAAGGAAACCCAGAGUGCCAUCUCUUUAAGUGAGACACGUAUCAGAACAUGGCAUCGACCCCAGAAAUUGCACAGAGCCAGAGUGUCCCCAGCAUCAACACCUUUCAGGAGAGAAACUGAAUUCAUUUGCCAACAACCAACUCCAUCGGACAGUGCCAGAAAGUACGGGACUGCUUGCGUUCAUUUCUUCGAGAUGAGUCAGGGUUGCAGGGUGUCGAUGAUUAGAUGUAAAUGUUAAACCAAAAGCCCAUGGUGGUCACUUUGGCUUUCCUUCUGUGGAAAUCCAGCUUCUCACUUGGGGGGAAGGGGUUGUGUUACAUGUGAUAUUGGCAUGUUGCUCUGGUUUCCUGAAGCCCCCAUUUUUUGGGUCUCUCUGUGCCCUUCCCAUAUACACAAACACAUUUUCAGGUAAAACAUCUGGAAGGUCCUAUUUCAAAAGAGCAUGGCCAAGAAAAUCUUUCCAUUUGUAAAAAUAAUGUAAACCCUUUAGACUGUAAUGUCCUGCAGAGCAGGGGAAUUAUACAACAGCAAUAAAAUUGUCAGCUUUCAAUAAUCAGCCACAUUUUUUAUGGUAUUUUGUCACUGGGAAAGCACUUUUUAAUAAUCA